UAGUAGAUGCACCCUGAUAACUCAAUUCCCUAGUUGGCGUAAGCCAAUAGUGGUUUUUCUU
rnacentral:sRNA from 1 species